rnacentral:rRNA from 1 species
CUUAGUUGGUGGAGCGAUUUGUCUGGUUAAUUUCGAUAACGAACGAGACUCUAGCCUGCUAAUUAGUGCAUUUGUCCACUGUUCCUGUGUAGGCGGCGUUUGACAGGGCUGCUUCUGUUUGCCUUUGCGUGCUNGUUGCUUUCCUUCGGGAAGUUGAUGAGCGUGUGAGGGUUGGAGGUGGCUGGCUCGGCGUUAGCUUCCGGGUACGGNGCGAAUGUUUACUUCUUAGAGGGACAAGCGGGAGAAGCCGCACGAGAUUGAGCAAUAACAGGUCUGUGAUGCCCUUAGAUGUCCGGGGCCGCACGCGCGCUACAAUGACGGUGCCAACGAGUCUGACCUUCUGGCCCGAAAGGGUUGGGCAAACUGGUCAAUCACCGUCAUGACAGGGAUCGGGGCUUGGAAUUGUUCCCCGUGAACGAGGAAUUCCUAGUAAGUGCAAGUCAUAAGCUUGCGCUGAUUACGUCCCUGCCCUUUGUACACACCGCCCGUCGCUACUACCGAUUGAAUGGUUUAGUAAGGUCC